rnacentral:rRNA from 1 species
GACGAACGCUUGCGGCGUGCUUAACACAUGCAAGUCGAACGGAAAGGCCCUGCUUUUGUGGGGUGCUCGAGUGGCGAACGGGUGAGUAACACGUGAGUAACCUGCCCUUGACUUUGGGAUAACUUCAGGAAACUGGGGCUAAUACCGGAUAGGAGCUCCUGCUGCAUGGUGGGGGUUGGAAAGUUUCGGCGGUUGGGGAUGGACUCGCGGCUUAUCAGCUUGUUGGUGGGGUAGUGGCUUACCAAGGCUUUGACGGGUAGCCGGCCUGAGAGGGUGACCGGCCACAUUGGGACUGAGAUACGGCCCAGACUCCUACGGGAGGCAGCAGUGGGGAAUAUUGCACAAUGGGCGGAAGCCUGAUGCAGCAACGCCGCGUGCGGGAUGACGGCCUUCGGGUUGUAAACCGCUUUCGCCUGUGACGAAGCGUGAGUGACGGUAAUGGGUAAAGAAGCACCGGCUAACUACGUGCCAGCAGCCGCGGUGAUACGUAGGGUGCGAGCGUUGUCCGGAUUUAUUGGGCGUAAAGGGCUCGUAGGUGGUUGAUCGCGUCGGAAGUGUAAUCUUGGGGCUUAACCCUGAGCGUGCUUUCGAUACGGGUUGACUUGAGGAAGGUAGGGGAGAAUGGAAUUCCUGGUGGAGCGGUGGAAUGCGCAGAUAUCAGGAGGAACACCAGUGGCGAAGGCGGUUCUCUGGGCCUUUCCUGACGCUGAGGAGCGAAAGCGUGGGGAGCGAACAGGCUUAGAUACCCUGGUAGUCCACGCUGUAAACGGUGGGUACUAGGUGUGGGGUCCAUUCCACGGGUUCCGUGCCGUAGCUAACGCUUUAAGUACCCCGCCUGGGGAGUACGGCCGCAAGGCUAAAACUCAAAGGAAUUGACGGGGCCCCGCACAAGCGGCGGAGCAUGCGGAUUAAUUCGAUGCAACGCGUAGAACCUUACCUGGGUUUGACAUGGAUCGGGAGUGCUCAGAGAUGGGUGUGCCUCUUUUGGGGUCGGUUCACAGGUGGUGCAUGGCUGUCGUCAGCUCGUGUCGUGAGAUGUUGGGUUAAGUCCCGCAACGAGCGCAACCCUUGUUCACUGUUGCCAGCACGUUAUGGUGGGGACUCAGUGGAGACCGCCGGGGUCAACUCGGAGGAAGGUGGGGAUGACGUCAAGUCAUUAUGCCCCUUAUGUCCAGGGCUUCACGCAUGCUACAAUGGCUGGUACAGAGAGUGGCGAGCCUGUGAGGGUGAGCGAAUCUCGGAAAGCCGGUCUCAGUUCGGAUUGGGGUCUGCAACUCGACCUCAUGAAGUCGGAGUCGCUAGUAAUCGCAAAUCAGCAACGCUGCGGUGAAUACGUUCCCGGGGCC